rnacentral:misc_RNA from 1 species
ACACCUCAACCCUCCAAUGUUUUUGCAUUGAAGGCGUUGGUAGUGAGCGCUGCCGGACUUUUGAAUCGGCUCGCUUUAAAAUCAUUAGCUGGAUCCAUUCUGACCUGGUUCUACUCGGCGUAAUAAGUUAUUAUCGUCGAGGACGCCUAGCCUUCUAGGCAGGCGGCCACAGUAAGGGUGUUUGAACCGCUUCCAAACACGUCUUGCUCUUGUAGCAAACACUUGAACCU